AGGUAGCAUAAUCAUUUGCCUAUUAAUUGUUGGCUAGUAUGAAAGGACAAACGAGAAUAGGGCUGUCUCCUUCAAGAAACUAAAAAUUUAUCUUUAAGUGAAGAAGCUUAAAUUCUAUCGCAGGACAAGAAGACCCUAUAGAGCUUUACCUAUUACAUAUACCUAAAAUAAAAAAUAGGUUCGGUUGGGGCGACCAAGGGACAUUUAUCACCCUUAACUAAAAAGAUUUACAAAUCAUUAAAAUGAUCCUUACAAAAAGAUCAACGAAUCAAGCUACCUUAGGGAUAACAGGCUAAUUCUCCUUUAGAGCCCUUAUCAACAGGAGAGGUUGGCACCUCGAUGUUGGCUUAGGAAUUCUUCAUGACGCAGCAGUCACUGAAAGAUGGUUUGUUCAACCAUAAAACCCCUACAUGAUCUG
rnacentral:rRNA from 1 species